rnacentral:rRNA from 1 species
GGGUCAGUAGGUUGGUCGUGCCACCGGUACGUACUGGUCUCACUGACUCCUCCUUCCUGAAGAACCGUAAUGCCAUUAAUUUGGUGUUGCGGGGAAACAGGACUGUUACUUUGAAAAAAUUGGAGUGUUUAAAGCAAGCUAACGCUUGAAUACAUUAGCAUGGAAUAAUGAAAUAGGACGAUCGAUCCUAUUUUGUUGGUUUCUAGGAUUGACGUA